rnacentral:rRNA from 1 species
CACGUAGGGGGCAAGCGUUGUCCGGAUUUAUUGGGCGUAAAGAGCUCGUAGGCGGCUUAGUAAGUCGGGUGUGAAACCUCCAGGCUCAACCUGGAGACGCCACCCGAUACUGCUGUGGCUAGAGUCCGGUAGGGGAGCGUGGAGUUCCUGGUGUAGCGGUGAAAUGCGCAGAUAUCAGGAGGAACACCAGCGGCGAAGGCGGCGCUCUGGGCCGGUACUGACGCUGAGGAGCGAAAGCGUGGGGAGCAAACAGG